rnacentral:siRNA from 1 species
GGCACGAGAGCCAUUGGGAUUGG